rnacentral:rRNA from 1 species
UAAGGAAUAUUGGACAAUGGACGCAAGUCUGAACCAGCCAUGCCGCGUGAAGGAUGAAGGUCCUCUGGAUUGUAAACUUCUUUUAUCUGGGACGAAAACGGGAUUUUUAUCUCAAUUGACGGUACCAGAGGAAUAAGCACCGGCUAACUCCGUGCCAGCAGCCGCGGUAAUACGGAGGGCGCGAGCGUUAUCCGGAUUUACUGGGUUUAAAGGGUGCGUAGGUGGGCUUAUAAGUCAGUGGUGAAAUCUCCGAGCUUAACUUGGAAACUGCCGUUGAUACUAUAGGUCUUGAAUUAUCUGGAGGUAAGCGGAAUAUGUCAUGUAGCGGUGAAAUGCUUAGAUAUGACAUAGAACACCAAUUGCGAAGGCAGCUUACUACAUAUAAAUUGACGCUGAGGCACGAAAGCGUGGGGAUCAAACA